rnacentral:misc_RNA from 3 species
GGAUCACCUCCUUUCUAAGGAGUAAUUAGAAAGACGUGAAGUUGACACCUAAAGUUUCCUGUUUAGUUUUGAGAGUCCGUUGGAAUCUCAAGAAAAAUGAUCUUUGAAAACUGAAUAACAGAAAAGAAAAAGAGAUAGACAAAGAAAUAAAUGUUAUCAACAUGAUCUUUUCGAAUAGUUGUAUAAAACUAGAUUUACAUCAAGUUAAACAAAAACAGUAACUUAAGCAAUUAAGUAAGCAAUCAAAGCAAACACACAGCUUAUCAAGCGAUAAGCGUUAAAAAAAACCUGAUUUUAAGAAUUAGGGCGCGAAAUUACAUGUGAUUAAAUAUGUAAGGGCGUACGGUGGAUGCCUU